rnacentral:rRNA from 1 species
CCCUGCAGCCCAAGACUGGUUGCCUACUGAAGCUAAGCAGGGUUGAGCCUGGUCAGUACCUGGAUGGGAGACCUCCUGGGAAAACUAGGUUGUUGCUGGAA